AGUGAACGCUGGCGGUAUGCCUAACACAUGCAAGUCGAACGGCAGCACAGUAAGCGCUUGCUCUUACGGGUGGCGAGUGGCGGGCGGGUGAGGAAUACAUCGGAAUCUACUUUUUCGUGGGGGAUAACGUAGGGAAACUUACGCUAAUACCGCAUACGACCUACGGGUGGAAGCAGGGGAUCUUCGGACCUUGCGCGAUUCAAUGAGCCGAUGUCGGAUUAGCUAGUUGGCGGGGUAAAGGCCCACCAAGGCGACGAUCCGUAGCUGGUCUGAGAGGAUGAUCAGCCACACUGGAACUGAGACACGGUCCAGACUCCUACGGGAGGCAGCAGUGGGGAAUAUUGGACAAUGGGCGCAAGCCUGAUCCAGCCAUACCGCGUGGGUGAAGAAGGCCUUCGGGUUGUAAAGCCCUUUUGUUGGGAAAGAAAAGCAGCAGGUUAAUACCCCGCUGUUCUGACGGUACCCAAAGAAUAAGCACCGGCUAACUUCGUG
rnacentral:rRNA from 1 species